rnacentral:rRNA from 1 species
GAUGAACGCUAGCUACAGGCUUAACACAUGCAAGUCGAGGGGAAACGGCAUUAAGUGCUUGCACUUUUUGGACGUCGACCGGCGCACGGGUGAGUAACGCGUAUCCAACCUUCCCAUGACUAAGGGAUAACCUGCCGAAAGGCAGACUAAUACCUUAUGGUCUUCACUGACGGCAUCAGAUGUGAAGUAAAGAUUUAUCGGUUAUGGAUGGGGAUGCGUCUGAUUAGCUUGUUGGCGGGGUAACGGCCCACCAAGGCAACGAUCAGUAGGGGUUCUGAGAGGAAGGUCCCCCACAUUGGAACUGAGACACGGUCCAAACUCCUACGGGAGGCAGCAGUGAGGAAUAUUGGUCAGUGGGCGAGAGCCUGAACCAGCCAAGUAGCGUGCAGGAUGACGGCCCUAUGGGUUGUAAACUGCUUUUGUAUGGGGAUAAAGUCAAUCACGUGUGAUUGUUUGCAG